ensembl:lncRNA novel transcript
GGCAGACAGGUGGGUUGCUGCAGCCUAUGGCUGUAGUUGGAGGCCUCAGUACCUCUCCACUCUGUAAGUGGCCUCAUGACAUGACAGCUGGUUUCCUCCAGGGCAGGUGAUUCAGGAGAGCAAGACAAAGCUGCAACAUCUUUUGUGACCAAACCUCAGACAUGACACACCAUUAUUUCUGCAGUAUCCUGUUGGCUACACAGAUCCACCUUAUUUCAUGUGGAAAGACUCUAUGAAGGGCAUGGAUCCAGGGGGAACAAACAAAGAAAAAAAAACUGGGACCAGCCACUGCCCUGGGGAACAGUGGCAGGGUGGAGUGAUCUGAACAUGAGGCAUGAGAAGAACUGAGUGACUACAGUGAUUGGGCUAUAAUAGACUCUGUCACUGGCCCAGCUGUAAUCCCUGGCGCCUGCUGCUUCACUGUGUUCUGCAGGAGUUCCACUGCCCUGAAUCUCUGACUCUGUGCCCGAGGUCUUUUUCUGGAAUUGUGGAAGGUGCUCUGCUAUGUGGGAAACAAGCUGGAAGUUCCGGGAAUCACACUUCCCAGAAGCUACACCCAACCAGUGAUUGACAGGAGUUGAAGUAAAAACAUCAUGGCUUUCUUACCCCUUAAGUGGAAUAUUUUAUACUAUUUUUCAGAAUUUCCCCAAGGAGUUAAGCUGUAAUUGCCCAUCACGGCAGCCGGGUUAAUAAGGUAUCUGUAUCUGCCAGAAUUAAAUGAGACGGCAGAAUCACAUAGUAAUUUGAGCAGGAAAAGCUUAAUAUAAGGAAUUAUCAUGUAAUUAUAGAGUUGUUCUAUAAUUAUGUAAUAUUAUAUUCUAAGCUCCUCUUAUACAAUAUAGGAGAGGAUUUGCAGUAACAAGGGAUUAGAUAGCAAGAUGUAAGAGAACUCUGAAGAAUAUAGGACUAGUGGAUAUAAGGAACAGCCACUACCCCUGGGGCUGAGGUGGAGCACUCCAAGAAUUAAAGAACCUGGAAUAAGAACACCUCACCUCACUCACGGCUCACUGGAUGGUGGACAAGUCCCUGAGUUGUGAUGCUGUAGAACUUUCUGGAAAUUUGCCCUCCAUAUUUUCAAGGGAAGAUGUCAAAGAGAAGUUUCAUCUCUCAGAAAUUAUCUCAAAACCUUCUUGGGGAUUACCAGGGAAAAUUGUCACAGGAGACUCCAUGAGGGGUCAUGUCACUCCUAGGCUGUUCAAGGGAGUUCUGGGGGAAGCUGGGCACUGCUGGUCACAACAGGUUGUAAAAGCUGGGCCCUGGAGAAGCUGUCCGCACUGCAGGAGACUGGGUGCUGCUGGAGUUGCUGGAUGAGCUUAAGGCAUGUGGGGAGAGGAGAACAUUAGAACUAGGAAAUGAAACCUCUCUCUAUUCUACUGUCCCUCCAGCACCCUCUACUGUAAACACUUAGCAUUGUGCCACCUGGCACAGGAGAAGUCUUUACAGGGCCCGUCUAUAACAUAGCAAAGCAGGCAACAAAGGGUGAACUUGGAGUGGCUCACAUGUUGCUCUAUGUUGACUUCUUCCCUUUCCUUUUUCAUUCCCCUACUCCCCUUAUUGGUUUUCCUUAAAUUCUAAAUAAAAUACAGUCAUCCUCA